CCUGCCCGCUGAAUUUUUUUACGGACGCGGUACUCUGACCGUGCAAAGGUAGCAUAAUCAUUUGCCUUAUAAUUGAAGGCUAGUAUGAAUGGUUUGACAAGAAUAUAGCUGUCUCUUUUUGAUUAACUAGAAUUUUAUUUAUGGGUGAAGAAGCCCAUAUUUAAUUAAAAGACAAGAAGACCCUAUCGAGCUUUAGAUAAAUUAGUAAAUUGAAAAAAAUUAAUAAAAUUAAAAAAUUAGUUACUAAAAACUUUGGUUGGGGCGACUGAGGAACAGAUAAAGCUUCCUUUAAAAAUUAAACAAAUUAUACAAAUAAUUGAUCCAGAAAUUUCUGAUUAAAGGAAUUAGUUACCGUAGGGAUAACAGCAUUAUCUUCUUUGAGAGUUCUUAUCGAAAAGAAGGUUUGUGACCUCGAUGUUGGACCAGAAUAUCCUAAAGAUGCAGCAGUCUUUAAGGGUUGGUCUGUUCGACCAUUAAAAUUCUACGUGAUCUGA
rnacentral:rRNA from 1 species